rnacentral:rRNA from 1 species
AUUGAACGCUGGCGGCAGGCCUAACACAUGCAAGUCGAACGCGUGGCGGACGGGUGAGUAAUGUCUGGGAAACUGCCUGAUGGAGGGGGAUAACUACUGGAAACGGUAGCUAAUACCGCAUACCAUCGGAUGUGCCCAGAUGGGAUUAGCUAGUAGGUGGGGUAACGGCUCACCUAGGCGACGAUCCCUAGCUGGUAUGAGAGGAUGACCAGCUACACGGGAACUGAUACACGGUCAAGACGACGACGGGAGGCAGCAGUGGGGAAUAUGGCACAAUGGGCGCAAGCCUGAUGCAGCCAUGCAGCGUGUAUGAAGAAGGCCUUCGGGUUGUAAAGUACUUUCAGCCGUGAGGCGUUACCCGCAGAUGAAGCACCGGCUAACUCCGUGCCAGCAGCCGCGGUAAUAC